CUAUCCAACUUCAACAUAGUAUCCAACCCAUUCUACCAAUACCCAUCAGUAUAUUUAAUUGUAAUUUAAUCUAUAACAAAAUGCAAAAAAUAUUCUACUCUAGUAUGUGCUACUAAGUCUUUCAGGGCUGAUAACAGGCUUCUCGUGUAUGUUUAUACGUUAAUUACUAUGUUAUAUGAAGAUUACAUCAAAUUAAAAUUUGACAUGGAACUGACCUUUUUGCACUCUGUCUUUUAACAAAU